rnacentral:rRNA from 1 species
CACACUAUCAUUAACUGAAUCCAUAGGUUAAUGAGGCGAACCGGGGGAACUGAAACAUCUAAGUACCCCGAGGAAAAGAAAUCAACCGAGAUUCCCCCAGUAGCGGCGAGCGAACGGGGAGCAGCCCAGAGCCUGAAUCAGUGUGUGUGUUAGUGGAAGCGUCUGGAAAGGCGCGCGAUACAGGGUGACAGCCCCGUACACAAAAAUGCACAUGCUGUGAGCUCGAUGAGUAGGGCGGGACACGUGGUAUCCUGUCUGAAUAUGGGGGGACCAUCCUCCAAGGCUAAAUACUCCUGACUGACCGAUAGUGAACCAGUACCGUGAGGGAAAGGCGAAAAGAAC